GACGUAGGGUGCGAGCGUUGUCCGGAUUUAUUGGGCGUAAAGAGCUCGUAGGCGGCUCGUCGCGUCGUCCGUGAAAACCCGCAGCUUAACUGUGGGCUUGCAGCUGAUACGGGCAGGCUUGAGUUCGGUAGGGGAGACUGGAAUUCCAGGUGUAGCGGUGAAAUGCGUAGAUAUCUGGAGGAAUACCGGUGGCGAAGGCGGCAUCCUGGACCGACAUUGACGCUGAACGGCGAAAGCUAGGGGAGCAAACGGG
rnacentral:rRNA from 1 species